rnacentral:rRNA from 1 species
GAGUUUGAUCCUGGCUCAGAACGAACGCUGGCGGCAGGCCUAACACAUGCAAGUCGAGCGCGAAAGUCCUUCGGGGCGAGUAGAGCGGCGGACGGGUGAGUAAUGCUUGGGAAUCUACCUAGUAGUGGGGGAUAACCUGUGGAAACGCAGGCUAAUACCGCAUACGUCCUACGGGAGAAAGCAGGGGAUCUUCGGACCUUGCGCUAUUGGAUGAGCCCAAGUCGGAUUAGCUAGUUGGUGGGGUAAUGGCUCACCAAGGCGACGAUCCGUAGCUGGUCUGAGAGGAUGAUCAGCCACACUGGGACUGAGACACGGCCCAGACUCCUACGGGAGGCAGCAGUGGGGAAUAUUGGACAAUGGGCGCAAGCCUGAUCCAGCCAUACCGCGUGUGUGAAGAAGGCCUUCGGGUUGUAAAGCACUUUAAGCAGGGAGAAAAAGUUAUAAGUUAAUACCUUAUAACCCUGAUGUUACCUGCAGAAUAAGCACCGGCUAAUUCCGUGCCAGCAGCCGCGGUAAUACGGAAGGUGCAAGCGUUAAUCGGAAUUACUGGGCGUAAAGCGCGCGUAGGUGGUUUGUUAAGUUGGAUGUGAAAGCCCUGGGCUCAACCUAGGAACUGCAUCCAAAACUAACUCACUAGAGUACGAUAGAGGGAGGUAGAAUUCAUAGUGUAGCGGUGGAAUGCGUAGAUAUUAUGAAGAAUACCAGUGGCGAAGGCGGCCUCCUGGAUCUGUACUGACACUGAGGUGCGAAAGCGUGGGUAGCGAACAGGAUUAGAUACCCUGGUAGUCCACGCCGUAAACGAUGACAACUAGCUGUUGGGAGACUAUGUCUUUCAGUGGCGCAGCUAACGCUUUAAGUUGUCCGCCUGGGGAGUACGGCCGCAAGGCUAAAACUCAAAUGAAUUGACGGGGACCCGCACAAGCAGUGGAUCAUGUGGUUUAAUUCGAUGCAACGCGAAAAACCUUACCUACUCUUGACAUACUUGGAAGCUCUUGUAAUGAGAGUGUGCUUUUAAGAACCAAGAUACAGGUGCUGCAUGGCUGUCGUCAGCUCGUGUCGUGAGAUGUUCCGUUAAGUCGGAUAACGAGCGCAACCCUUACCCUUAUUUGCCAGCGAUUCGGUCGGGAACUAUAAGGGGACUGCCGGUGAUAAACCGGAGGAAGAUGAGGACGACGUCAAGUCAUCAUGGCCCUUACGAGUAGGGCUACACACGUGAUACAAUGGGAGAGACAGACGGACGCUAAGCCGCGAGGUGGUGCUAAUCCUAGAAACUCUCUCGUAGUCCGGAUUGGAGUCUGCAACUCGACUCCAUGAAGUUGGAAUUGCUAGUAAUCGCGGAUCAGCAUGCCGCGGUGAAUACGUUCUCGGGUCUUGUACACACCGCCCGUCACACCAUGGAAGUGGAUUGCACCAGAAGUAGAUAGUCUAACCUUAGGGAGGGCGUUUACCACGGUGUGCUUCAUGACUGGGGUGAAGUCGUAACAAGGUAACC